rnacentral:rRNA from 1 species
AGAGUUUGAUCAUGGCUCAGAUUGAACGCUGGCGGCAGGCUUAACACAUGCAAGUCGAACGGUAACAUAAAGAAGCUUGCUUCUUUGAUGACGAGUGGCGGACGGGUGAGUAAUGCUUGGGAAUCUAGCUUAUGGAGGGGGAUAACUACGGGAAACUGUAGCUAAUACCGCGUAAUAUCGAAAGAUUAAAGUGUGGGACCUUCGGGCCACAUGCCAUAAGAUGAGCCCAAGUGGGAUUAGGUAGUUGGUGGGGUAAAGGCCGACCAAGCCGACGAUCUCUAGCUGGUCUGAGAGGAUGACCAGCCACACUGGAACUGAGACACGGUCCAGACUCCUACGGGAGGCAGCAGUGGGGAAUAUUGCACAAUGGGGGGGACCCUGAUGCAGCCAUGCCGCGUGAAUGAAGAAGGCCUUCGGGUUGUAAAGUUCUUUCGGUGACGAGGAAGGUUGGUAGGUUAAUAGCCUAUCAAAUUGACGUUAAUCACAGAAGAAGCACCGGCUAACUCCGUGCCAGCAGCCGCGGUAAUACGGAGGGUGCGAGCGUUAAUCGGAAUAACUGGGCGUAAAGGGCACGCAGGCGGUGACUUAAGUGAGGUGUGAAAGCCCCGGGCUUAACCUGGGAAUUGCAUUUCAUACUGGGUCGCUAGAGUACUUUAGGGAGGGGUAGAAUUCCACGUGUAGCGGUGAAAUGCGUAGAGAUGUGGAGGAAUACCGAAGGCGAAGGCAGCCCCUUGGGAAUGUACUGACGCUCAUGUGCGAAAGCGUGGGGAGCAAACAGGAUUAGAUACCCUGGUAGUCCACGCUGUAAACGAUGUCGAUUUGGGGGUUGAACUUUAAGUUUGGCGCCCGUAGCUAACGUGAUAAAUCGACCGCCUGGGGAGUACGGCCGCAAGGUUAAAACUCAAAUGAAUUGACG